UUCCUUUGAGUUUCAGCCUUGCGACCAUACUCCCCAGGCGGAGCACUUAACACUUUCGCUUCGGUCGGAAACCUAUGGAGGAGCCUCCAACCUAGUGCUCAUCGUUUACAGCUAGGACUACCGGGGUAUCUAAUCCCGUUCGCUACCCUAGCUUUCGUGCCUCAGCGUCAGAAAAGACCCAGUGAGCCGCUUUCGCCACAGGUGUUCCUAAUGAUAUCAACGCAUUUCACCGCUCCACCAUUAGUUCCGCUCACCUCUAUCUUCCUCUAGCUUGGCAGUUUUGAGCGCAGUUCCUCGGUUGAGCCGAGGGAUUUCACACCCAACUUGCCAUGCCGCCUACGCACCCUUUAAGCCCAGUGAUUCCGAAUAACGUUUGGACGGUUCGUCUUACCGCGGCUGCUGGCACGAACUUAGCCCGUCCUUCCUCUGAAGAUAGGUCAACUAUGGGGGAGAACCCCCAUAGAUUUCCUCCCAACUGACAGCGGUUUACAACCCGAAGGCCUUCAUCCCGCACGCGGCGUCGCUCCGUCAGGCUUUCGCCCAUUGCGGA
rnacentral:rRNA from 1 species